CUGAUUUGCUUAAUUGCACCACAUGUGUUUUUCUUUGAAACAAACUUGCUUUGGCGGUGGGCCCAGCCUGCCGCCAGAGGUCUAAACUUACAACCAAUUUUUUAUCAACUUGUCACACCAGAUUAUUACUAAUAGUCAAAACUUUCAACAACGGAUCUCUUGGUUCUCGCAUCGAUGAAGAACGCAGCGAAAUGCGAUACGUAAUAUGAAUUGCAGAUAUUCGUGAAUCAUCGAAUCUUUGAACGCACAUUGCGCCCUCUGGUAUUCCGGAGGGCAUGCCUGUUUGAGCGUCGUUUCUCCCUCAAACCGCUGGGUUUGGUGUUGAGCAAUACGACUUGGGUUUGCUUGAAAGACGGUAGUGGUAAGGCGGGAUCGCUUUGACAAUGGCUUAGGUCUAACCAAAAACAUUGCUUGCGGCGGUCACGUCCACCACGUAUAUC
rnacentral:misc_RNA from 1 species